rfam:Schistosoma rodhaini strain Burundi genome assembly, scaffold: SROB_scaffold0000219
AUCCAGCUGACAAAUCCCAAAUAGGACGAAACGCGCGUCCUGGAU